CGUUUACUCACUGUUCGGGCGUGUGCCAGCCAUGGCGCGCUACUGCGCGGUCGUGCUGCUCGUCAUGGCCGUGGUGGCCGUCAUCUACGUUGUCGUCAUGCACCUCGUCUCCUCGUGCGACAUCCUGUGCGAUAAUGACGAGCAAGCACCAAAUGAAAACUAUGGGAGGACACCAAACAACGCUUCACUGGACACAUAAACUGAAGAAUAAAUGGAAUGUGAAACAGGAUUCCUGUAAGAUACAGGAUUCUUACAAAUUACAAUAUUUUGUAUUUUAUUUAAAGAUGUUCGUUAAUGUAACUGUAUUUUUUUUACGAUACAGUUCAUGUUACCGUUUUGUGUGUUCUUAUAGAAACGAAGUGAAUAUUAAAACCAAAGUUAUAAAGUGGCUAAAAACUGUAAUUUAUUCAGUCACGCUUAUAAAAGACUUACGAUUCACUUGUUUAAAAGCAAGAAAUCUGUUUGUCUUCAAUUAUUCUUUCUUCAGGCUUGUGUCUUUCUGUUCUAUGAGCUUGUAAUGUACACAUGUAUGAGUUAUUACCUGUCAUUGAAAUGAAAUAGAUCAUAUUUUAAUCUUAA